UUUGUGUGUUGUAAGCUUUUCGUGGCGCUAGAUGUCAGACAGAUGCAAAUAGCAAAUACAUACGAAAGUGUAAAAGGUGUAUGGCGAACAUUUGUUUUUCUGUCAUUAUAGAUGCUAGUUUGGUGAAAGUACACUGAGUGCUUAAAAUCAUUCAGAAGAGAUGCUGUUUUAAGGGCAGUUUAUUAAAGAAGACCUGACAUGGAUGACUUCCAAUGAGAAACGACUGCUAAUACUUAUAUAAAUUCAUUACAGAAGGACCCUACCAGACUAUAUUUGAAUACGGCAUACCCGUGAAUUCUGGAACUGUUAUUCCUUAACCCAGUUUGGAGUAUAAGAGCUUACCAACUAUAAAUAUGCUGAGGUGAUGUAUUGCAAAAUAGCCAACAUACAACAAUUAAAGGAUAAUUGCAGCCUAUAUCCUGAUGAAGAUAUGGAUGACCCUCUGUCUGGUCAACAGGAGUUUAAAUAUGGAUGGGACAGUGAUGUGGCAGCUCUUCCCUGGCUCAUUCACCUCUUGCCUUCAUUUGUGAAAGCAAGAAAGACUGGAGAGGGUCAAUGUGCAACUGAAGCUACUGAUUGUGCUGUGUGAUGAGCAUCAAUCCAUGCUUUGAGGUGGAUGGAUCAGCACAGCCCUGCCUGCUCUGCGUUGGGAACAAAAGUUGCAUCCAGAAUUUUUGCAUCAUUCUGGACCAAAAAGCCAUUCCCUCCAUGAUGAAGACCACUGAUGCAGCCUUCCACUACUGUACAGUAAAACAACUACAGAACUAAAUACCAGGUUGGAACGUGUUUAAGAAAAAUGAAACGUCUUUUGAAUUGAAAUGUCUGUUUUGUUAUGGAAAAAUCUUUAGUAUUGUGAAGGAUAAGCAUUUCUGCUUGCCGAUAAGAUAAUUGCAGUGUAUUUUAAUGUUCAAGUUUUGAGUAGGGUGGCUAAUUUUUUUAACUCUUAUUUGAUUUAUUAAAGACUUUAUAAUAAGUGGUUUUCAUGUCACUGCGCUGUGGUAUAAGAUAACUUUCAUUAUUCCAUACUGUAUUCUGUUUCUAAUUGUAGCUGAGGUAUUUAAAUAAGCAGUGUUAAAUGCAAAGUGUUGUGUGUAUCAAUGUAAAUAUUAAAUGUGAUUUACUUUAAUAAAAAGAGGUUUUGCAAUAUUUCUUGUCAUUUUUCUUUUAUAGAAACAACCCAUUAGCAACAAAAGUGGCUAUUACUCAGUAUUUUAACACUUAACAUUGUUGAAUUCACAUUACACUGGUGUUGACCUUAAAUUAGGGGUGUUAAUUUUUAACACUGUAUUUGUGUGCCAACACCAGUGUAGUGUGGAAACAACAAUGAAUAGUGUUGAACAAAGUGUAAAAUUUAACAAUAUUGAGUGUUAAAUUAACAUAUAAUGGGUGCUGUUAAAUUAACACUACACUUUUGACUAAAUUAACACAGUGUAGUGUGGACACAUAUACACACUUUGCCGGUGUUAAAUUUGACACCGUGGGUGUUAUU